GGCAGCAGUAGGGAAUCUUCCGCAAUGGGCGAAAGCCUGACGGAGCAAUGCCGCGUGAGUGAUGAAGGUUUUCGGAUCGUAAAGCUCUGUUGCCAGGGAAGAACGCUUGGGAGAGUAACUGCUCUCAAGGUGACGGUACCUGAGAAGAAAGCCCCGGCUAACUACGUGCCAGCAGCCGCGGUAAUACGUAGGGGGCAAGCGUUGUCCGGAAUUAUUGGGCGUAAAGCGCGCGCAGGCGGUCAUUUAAGUCUGGUGUUUAAUCCCGGGGCUCAACCCCGGAUCGCACUGGAAACUGGGUGACUUGAGUGCAGAAGAGGAGAGUGGAAUUCCACGUGUAGCGGUGAAAUGCGUAGAUAUGUGGAGGAACACCAGUGGCGAAGGCGACUCUCUGGGCUGUAACUGACGCUGAGGCGCGAAAGCGUGGGGAGCAAACAGGAUUANSAUACCCCUCU
rnacentral:rRNA from 2 species